rnacentral:rRNA from 1 species
GAUUAUCAUGUGUGGGGAGGUAAUGGCUCCACAAGGGGGACAAUCCGGUGGGUUGGUUGAGAGAGAUAAUCCACCCACUUGGGGAUUGAGACCCGGGCCCGAAUCUCUUAGGGGGCGCCACCAGUGGGGAAUUUUUGGACAAGGGGGAAAAAGCCUUAAUCCAGCCCAUGCCGGUGUGUGUAAAGAAGGCCCUUGGGGUUGUAAAGCAUUUUCAGCGAGGAAGAACGCCUUAGUGGUUAAUACCCACUAGGAAAGACAUCACUCGCAGAAGAAGCACCGGCUAACUCCGUGCCAGCAGCCGCGGUAAUACGGAGGGUGCAAGCGUUAAUCGGAAUUACUGGGCGUAAAGCGCGCGUAGGUGGCUUGAUAAGCCGGUUGUGAAAGCCCCGGGCUCAACCUGGGAACGGCAUCCGGAACUGUCAAGCUAGAGUGCAGGAGAGGAAGGUAGAAUUCCCGGUGUAGCGGUGAAAUGCGUAGAGAUCGGGAGGAAUACCAGUGGCGAAGGCGGCCUUCUGGACUGACACUGACACUGAGGUGCGAAAGCGUGGGUAGCAAACAGGAUUAGAUACCCUGGUAGUCCACGCCGUAAACGAUGUCGACCAGCCGUUGGGUGCCUAGCGCACUUUGUGGCGAAGUUAACGCGAUAAGUCGACCGCCUGGGGAGUACGGCCGCAAGGUUAAAACUCAAAUGAAUUGACGGGGGCCCGCACAAGCGGUGGAGCAUGUGGUUUAAUUCGAUGCAACGCGAAGAACCUUACCUACUCUUGACAUCCUGCGAACUUGUGAGAGAUCACUUGGUGCCUUCGGGAACGCAGAGACAGGUGCUGCAUGGCUGUCGUCAGCUCGUGUUGUGAAAUGUUGGGUUAAGUCCCGUAACGAGCGCAACCCUUGUCCUUAUUUGCCAGCGGGUAAUGCCGGGAACUCUAAGGAGACUGCCGGUGACAAACCGGAGGAAGGUGGGGACGACGUCAAGUCAUCAUGGCCCUUACGAGUAGGGCUACACACGUGCUACAAUGGCCGGUACAAAGGGUUGCGAGCUCGCGAGAGUCAGCUAAUCCCGAAAAGCC